AUUUAUUUUCUCGAGACCAGGAAAACCAUUCAUUUUUCCAAAACAAACAAACAAGGGUUGGACUGUUUUCUUUUAUUGGCGAUGGGAAAGUUUGGACUGUUUGAUCUUGAAAACCAUUUCGCUUUCUACGGAGCUUACCACAGCAACCCAGUUAACAUAGCAAUCCAUGUGUUAUUCAUUUGGCCAAUUUUUUUCUCAACCCUUCUUAUUCUCUACUUCAUCCCUCCUUUCUUCAACCUUCCAAAUUUGGAGUUUUCCCUGUGGGGGAACCAUGUGUUCUUGGUUUGGAAUGUUGGGUUCUUAGUUGCUUUGAUCUAUGCAAUUUUCUAUGUUACUUUGGACUUCAAAGCUGGUUCCUUGGCUGCUUUGCUUUGUGCUAUUUGUUGGGUGAGUAGCAGUUUUGUUGCAAGCCUACUUGGGUUGUCUCUAGCUUGGAAGGUUGUUCUGGUGGUUCAGCUAGUAUGUUGGACAGGGCAGUUCGUUGGUCAUGGAGUAUUUGAGAAACGAGCACCUUCUCUUUUGGAUGACCUCGUCCAAGCCUUGGUAAUGGCUCCUUUCUUUGUAUUGCUGGAGGCUCUGCAGACUUUAUUUGGUUAUGAGUCGUAUCCAGGAUUUCAUUCAAGAGUGCAAGCAAAAAUUGAUGCUGACAUCAAAGAAUGGCAAGAAAGAAAGUGGAAGGUCGACGUGAUGUAGAUUUUGAAGGUGAGAAAAGGCCAACAUGUAUUAAGCGAAACUCAACAGUUGGCGAUCUGCAUCAUAAAAUUCGCCAAAAAUUAGCUCUCGAAGGUAACCAAUCUAUCACUCUGAGUACGACAACACUACAAAAAAUGAGGUGAUUUGUGGAGGUCAUAUUUUCAUAUUGUGGAGGUCUUUGACCCCCACAAAAGACAUUUGUGGCAUUCACCCAAACCCCCAGUUCUGCCUUCGCCACAACAUAGUUUGUGGGGGUUUAUUGCAGAAAGCUCUUAUAAGAUCUCAUACUUGAGCUGCAACAGUGUCUGAACGUGUUGGGAAGAGCUUGGUAAUGCAAGCAGUAUUGAAGCCAUGUUCCGAAAGUCCAAGAGCUUGGUAAUCUAACCAUAUGGAUAGAUUUACAUAUAAAAAAAAUAUUACAUGAAAUUUUGAUUUAUAAAUUUUUCAUCUAUCAAAUUUUAGAAAACCAUCAAACAAUCUCUUAAUAAGUAAAUGACACAUUCCAAGACCAAACUUUUAUUCUUCAACUUGAUUACCCAAUUGCAUACUCUUGCUUUUUCUUGUUUGGGUACCGAGAAAAUUUAAGAAAACUAUGGUUUCUUAUAUUCCUCACUCUGAAUUGCAGAAACUUGAGAUUCCAUUCAGCUACUCACUGAAUCAGUGAAUCUAAGAGAAAAAUCUUCAAAUGGGAAAACCAUAUAUAAAUUUACAUAUUAAAAAAAAAAUAUUACAUGAAAUUUUGAUUUAUAAAUUUUCCAUCUAUCAAAUUUUAGAAAACCAUCUAACAAUCUCUUAAUAAUAGCAUCAUAAUAAGUUAACGGGCAUUACCUGAGCACUGUCGCAACUAUAUGUCACUGCCACCACAAUUGUCUUCUCUAGAAUUUGUACUUUAAUAUUUCCUUCCCUAAGUGUUAUUUACUUAUCUCCGUGCACAAUCACUACUUUAAAAUUAGGAUAGUUUAUUUCAAGCACCAUCACAGUAUUAAUUGAUCCAAACUAAUAAUUCACACAACUCUGCCUAGCUAGGCUAUUCUAUUUCAUCUCAUGGCCACAUUUCCUGGACAAUUUUUUCUUUUUGGGUACAGCAGAAAAGAAAUCAAGAGCAGAGGACUCAAACAAGCAUGCUACUCCAGUUGUUAACAUGUCUGAGGAAGAUGAAAAUGACCCUACCUGAGUGAUGGAUGACGACUAUAAUGAUGACGAUAAUGAAAAUAUCGAAAUGAAAGAACGUCUUCUUGCCGAGGAUGAUAGUUCUUCGAACAACGAUGAGGAUCGUGAUCGAUCUGCGACUCAAAUCCAAGGUAUGAUGAUCGGGGGAAGUCUCGAGUCUUAGAACAUUAUGACAUGGGCUCGACUCAAUUACCACAAUAUCCUGAAAGUGAUUAUGUUGUUAAUCCUUUUUCGAAUGGAAUUCCACAUUACACAUACCUUGAUUGGGAUCAUCCGAGCGAAUAAGAAUAUUAUAUCGAGGGUUCAGGUUCAGUCUAGGGUACAUGGAAAAUAGGGGAAAAUUGUUUGUUAAACAGGAAUUUCCAUCCAAAAAAGAGGCCCAGAUGACAAUCAAGCGGAACCUAAUGAAGGAGCAUCAAGAAGCGAUUGUGAUUAAGAGCACGCCUACAAAGUUAAGCAUGAAAUGCUGAGUCUAUGAGCGGAGUUGCCCGUGGAGGGUUAGGGUUAUAAAACCAAUGUACGGUGAAAAUUGAAAGGUUACGAAAUGAGGUAGAAAUCACAAUUGCUUAAAUGACCAUAUUUCUCAGGAUCACAGACAAUUUGAUUCUGAUGUUAUUGUUUCACUCGUAGUAGAGAUUAUAAAGAAGAAAUCAUCAGUCUCAAUUGCACUGAUUCAGGAGAGGAUCACUCAUUCGUAUGGAUUCAAAGUUUCAUAUAGAAAGGUAUGGUAUGCGAAGCAGAAAGCAAUUGUAAUGAUGUAUGGUGAUUGGGAGGAAUCUUAUGCAUUUUUGCCCAUGUUUUGUGAAUAUAUGUUUCACUUUUCACUAGGUUCUUUUUAUAAUAUCCAAAUAAAUGAUUAUUUUGAGGCGAACCGACUGGUACUUGGAAAAUGUGUAUUUCAUCACAUUUUCGGGAUUUUCAGACAGUAUUGUGAGGCAUUCAAUUAUUACAAACCAAUGAUUCAAUUAUAGAGCUCUUAGGUCACGCCCUAACCCAGGUGUGUCUCUCUUCUUAGCAGGUCACCCCCCAUGCUAAGUGUCUCUCUCUCAUGGAAUACGCCCCACGUUGGGCGUGAUUGAGUGCAAUAUAUUUGUAUUUAGUUGUAAAACAGUCGUGUAUUCGUAAUUAAU